UACGGGGGGGGCAAGCGUUGUUCGGAAUUACUGGGCGUAAAGGGCUCGUAGGCGGCCAACUAAGUCAGACGUGAAAUCCCUCGGCUUAACCGGGGAACUGCGUCUGAUACUGGAUGGCUAGAGGUUGGGAGAGGGAUGCGGAAUUCCAGGUGUAGCGGUGAAAUGCGUAGAUAUCGGGAGGAACACCAGUAGCGAAGGCGGCACUCUGGGCCGGAACUGACGCUGAGGAGCGAAAGCGUGGGUAGCAAACAGG
rnacentral:rRNA from 1 species